AUGGAACCUCUCCACCCUCACGCAUCUGGGCCCCCUGAGUGUCGCAGGGGCCCCCAGCCAGCCCACAGGCGAUUUCUCCACGGCCUCCCGGAGUCUGGCUUCAGUCCACUGAGCAAGCCCUGGAGAAGCUGUGAGAGCCGAGCCGCAUGGUGUGACACCAAGCAAGGAAACAAGGCCAGAAAAGAAAGACAGAAGCCACUUCCCUCUGGGACGUCACCGUCGGGGACAGAGAUGAGCGAGAGAAAGGAAGAAGGAGGGAUGAUGAGGAAAGCAGAGCCGCUCCACCUUCCUUGGCUCAGAGGCUGUUUGCCUGAGUGUGAAGGUCGGAGCCAGUGCCUUGCAAGCUGCGGGCGACAGACGCCUCACUUGGAGGAAAACCAGCAACGGACCCCUAACCUCAGUGCCGCCCUUGGGUGUCCCGUUUUGAUUCUUGGGAAGUCUGUGCGCGGGCGCGGCAGUCCUGGAGUGUGGCAAAUGGAGGGAGGGACGAAGGGGGCCGAAUUAGCCCUGAGGAAAGCUGUGCCUCACUUGGCCCUGGGCACCAGCUCGACCCCCACAGAUCCAUCCUCUGCAAAUGAUGCCGGGGAUUCCCACCCGCCUCCCCGCAGACACAGAUCCCUCCACAGAGCACAGCUCUGAAGGCCUGGAACAGGCUGCAGGCCCGAGUCAGC
rnacentral:lncRNA from 1 species